rnacentral:rRNA from 1 species
UGGGGAAUUUUGGACAAUGGGGGAAACCCUGAUCCAGCCAUCCCGCGUGUGCGAUGAAGGCCUUCGGGUUGUAAAGCACUUUUGGCAGGAAAGAAACGUCAUGGGUUAAUACCCCGUGAAACUGACGGUACCUGCAGAAUAAGCACCGGCUAACUACGUGCCAGCAGCCGCGGUAAUACGUAGGGUGCAAGCGUUAAUCGGAAUUACUGGGCGUAAAGCGUGCGCAGGCGGUUCGGAAAGAAAGAUGAGAAAUCCCAGAGCUCAACUUUGGAACUGCAUUUUUAACUACCGGGCUAGAGUGUGUCAGAGGGAGGUGGAAUUCCGCGUGUAGCAGUGAAAUGCGUAGAUAUGCGGAGGAACACCGGUGGCGAAGGCAGCCUCCUGGGAUAACACUGACGCUCAUGCACGAAAGCGUGGGGAGCAAACAGG